CAAAAGGCUCUUUUCAGAGCCACCUUCCAUUUUCUGCUGAGGAACU
rfam:Cavia porcellus supercont2_108 genomic scaffold, whole genome shotgun sequence.